UUAAAUAAUUUAUCGUGUUCUAAUUUUUUUAACAGUUACCAUGAAGUUUACGAUGCUUUAAAAUGUAUUUAUUACUUCUAGUUUUUUUUUAUAAAUUCGUAGAAAUUGAUUCGAUGAGAAGUCAUUUCUAUCGCUUGUUUGGUUCGAAAUAUUCUUCAUGGAAAAAGAUUCCCAUGAAGAUGUUUCCCCGAAGAACCUGCAAUUAUCACAGUUCAUCAGCUCACUACAUGGCACAGACCGACCGGCUUUAUUAUUAAUAAUAUUUUAUUAUUGUAAUUGAUUUUAUUCUCGGGUCUAAGGACUAUUUUUGAAGCUACAUACUGAUAUACUAUACACGUUUAAAUAUAUAUAAUGAUAUUGAGUGCUUCAGGAUAAAUAAACAAUAAAAGACUUAAUUGCGUUUUCUGUUAUAUGUAUAAUGAGAAAACAACAUUUAGAGCACUUAAUCUAAUAAAAUUAAUAUUUUUAAACAAA